rnacentral:rRNA from 1 species
UGACAUUAGCUAGUUGGUAAGGUAACGGCUUACCAAGGCUACGAUGUCUAGGGGCUCUGAGAGGAGAAUCCCCCACACUGGUACUGAGACACGGACCAGACUCCUACGGGAGGCAGCAGUAAGGAAUAUUGGUCAAUGGACGGAAGUCUGAACCAGCCAUGCCGCGUGCAGGAGGACGGCCCUAUGGGUUGUAAACUGCUUUUAUACGGGAACAAACGUCGGUACGUGUACCGGUCUGAGUGUACCGUAAGAAUAAGGAUCGGCUAACUCCGUGCCAGCAGCCGCGGUAAUACGGAGGAUCCGAGCGUUAUCCGGAAUUAUUGGGUUUAAAGGGUGCGUAGGCGGCCAGAUAAGUCAGGGGUGAAAGUCGGCAGCUCAACUGUCGCAGUGCCUUUGAUACUGUUUGGCUUGAAUUCGGUUGAAGAUGGCGGAAUGAGACAAGUAGCGGUGAAAUGCAUAGAUAUGUCUCAGAACCCCGAUUGCGAAGGCAGCUAUCUAAGCCGUUAUUGACGCUGAUGCACGAAAGCGUGGGUAGCAAACAGGAUUAGAUACCCUGGUAGUCCACGCCCUAAACGAUGAUAACUCGAUGUUGGCGAUAUACAGUCAGCGUCUUAGCGAAAGCGUUAAGUAUCCAC